rnacentral:rRNA from 1 species
ACAGCAGCAGCCGCGGUAAGACAGAGGUGCCAAGCGUUAGGCGGAAUCACUGGGCUUAAAGCGUGUGUAGGCGGAUGCCUAAGUACCUUGUGAAAUCCCACGGCUCAACCCGAAGCCUGCACGAGAAACUACCGGGCUUGAGUAUUGGAGAGGUGAGUGGAAUUUCCGGUGUAGCGGUGAAAUGCGUAGAUAUCGGAAGGAACACCUGUGGCGAAAGCGGCUCACUGGACAAUAACUGACGCUGAUGCACGAAAGCUAGGGGAGCAAACAGGAUUAGAUACCCCAGUAGUCCCUGUCUCUUAUAA